rnacentral:tRNA from 1 species
GAGGGUACAGCUCAGUGAUAGAGUGCAUGCUUAGCAGGCAUGGGAUCCUAGGUUCAAUCCCUGGUACCUCCA